rnacentral:ncRNA from 1 species
AUGCGUAAAGUCAUACCAACGGCUUUAUGCGUAAAUCCUGUAUGGGCCCGGGCCAUUACAACGGCAGGGUACCAACAACAAUACAAGGAG